UACCGGAUGUAGUAGGUAAGACUAUGUAUUGGGGCAUACAUAUUAAUCUGGUAUGUAUGUUGGUAAGCACUUUAGGACUAUAAUUUGCAGUUUAUGGUGAAGAAAAUCUGUCUAAAGCCCAAAAGGAAGCUUCUUGUCUCCCUGUACCUGCGCUUCCUGCUGUGACGCUGACGGGGGGCCGAACUCGUUCUCGCUCAUUCUCCGAACGUUUCCGAUCUCGGCCGAUCUUCUGCAGCGGCGGUGGUGUUGCUGUUUUUGCUGCGUGUCCUGCUCGCGUCUACACCGUCCAUCUCUGACACUUGUUUUCCAUCAUGGUGGACAUUUUGUUGUUGAUGUUUUUCGCCAUCGUCGGCCUCGUCUUCCUCUCCUACAUCAUCUACUUGCUGUGAUGAAGAUGAUGAUGAUAAAGCGUCCGGCUCAGGCGCACAGGCGGACACAGGAUGUGCGUUUGUCUUCUGCAUCCCUGCUUUCCACCAUAGACAAUGGUAGAAGAGCCAGGAUCCGGCCGUGUUGGUUUCUCCACUGGAGCUCUCAUGUUGGAGGUGAAGAGCAAACCAGCUGAGAGGAAAAUCAAAUGAAGUGGAAGCCAAACUCUUUCUGCCUCUUUGUCUCCUACUUGCACUCUGUCAUCACCCUUCCUCUUUCCUUAUUUUCUGGGUCAGGGUCCUCCAACAAAAUGUCACCCACUUAUUAAUUUGCAGAGCAUUUUUUAUGCUACUCAGUGAUUAGCAUUUUUCUCUUUAAAUGUUACCUCUGCACAAGUCCGAUAAAUCUCUAAAACAUAGAUGCCGGAUGAGUUUGUAGGCUUGGAUGUAAUACGGGUGUAGAAUUUGCCUUUUUAACUACACUGUGAGCUCGUUUUUUGGCUCUGACAUUGAUGUGUGAUGUUGAGUUGUGUGGCCAACCCUUCUGUACGUUUGUUUUCUCAGACAGUUGGCGAGCUUCAGCCUUUUCAUUGUCAGAGAUGCCUUGGUUUGGUCUGCCUCGACAUCAGUGUUAUUAUAUGACUUUAAUCGUGUGUUGCCAAUAUGUUCUCCUCCUCACUACAAUCAAAGAUUCCCCGUCAGGGUAAAGGGGAAGUUAUAUACAGUAACUCCUGUUAUGUUUAUCUGUUUUUUGUUAUUUAC